AUUCUGAACAGCAGUGGCACAAACCUCGUACUCAGGGCUUCAAACCUGGUCCGACCAAUCAGAUGGUGAUAGUAUCAGCAAGACCCAAAGAAAGAAGACUGGCUGAAGGAAUCCGGAGUAAUUUAUACAAAGCAGCCUCAAACCUGACCUGCGAGCUCCCAGACAUGACUGUGCUUCACCU